UCUGCAUGUAGCCGUCCUCCCCAGGAAAAUGUUGCCAGGCAAGUAACGAACCACUUAGUGCUAAAACAAGACAAGAAAUGUUUCCAGGCGAUGUGUAAGUGUCAUAUUUGCAGAGUGACUACUUCAGUUUCUGUCAGAUUCUCUAUCAGCAAUCUGUAUGAUGGCAAAUAUUUUCUCAUAAUGGUAUUAGUAUAUACAAGUUGGAAAACCUACUGCUUAUAUAAUUGCUCUUUUUCUGAGUGAAGACUUCCUAUUUACACCUAAAGUAAGACGGCUUUCAUGAAUCCACAUAUGUCCUGAAUCGAACCCAUUUAUGCUGAAUGUGGUGAAACUCUAGCUAAAAAUGACUACUUAUUUUGGCAAUGGAAAAAGAAAGUUCUCCUUAAGCUAUACGGAGGCAAUCCGUAAUUACCUGGAAACAUCUAUCAAAGCAAAAACAAUAUUUCCAGCUAUUUCUCAACACAAGAAUAAGGCUUGGAAAGUUUCCUCAUUGAUUCCGAAGCGAUAUCGUAUUGUAUAGAUUGGAAUAAGUUUUGAUCUAUAGCCAUCUCUUGCUGAAUAAAGCCUUACCACACUCCACCAGAAGUGAGACUGCUUUCUCGGUUCCACACGUGUUCUGAACUGGCAUCUACUGAGCUGGAUGUUAUGAAAUACUCGCUACAGAUGACAUCAAAAUAUUAAAUCCAAGUAUAGUCGGUUCCUUUUUUAUAAUACUAAAAUUGUAGAAAUAACAUUCUU